rnacentral:lncRNA from 10 species
AGUCCCCAAGGAUGAGUGCUGAAGAUCCAUAGCCAUGGCAGGGCAGGGCCUAGGUACUGAAGGAAGAUCCCACUCAGAGUUCAGUUCCACCCACUGCAAAACGCCCUCCGAGGACCCUCACUAGACCAGUUCCUCCAAGUGCGGUCCGCAGGCUGCCAUCAGCGGGAUCACGGGGUGAGGAAGGGGCUGUUUAAAACACGGGUUCUUGGCCCCAUCUGCAGACCCCCAGAAUCUAACCCUCUCAGGGAGAGUCCUGGAAAUCUGUGUAUCUAGAAGCACUUUCUUCCCCAGGCUGGCCAGCUCAGAAAUGUCUAAAAACUUUUCUCGAUACCAAUCCUGGUCUCAUUUAUUAUCCUUCUCAUGAAAAUGAUUUGCUUCCUUUCAGCCUUGUAUGACCUCUGAAAAUAUGACCUGAAGCAGAUGGAUGCACUCACAUAAGAAACAUCACCUGUGGCCUUCAUCGGUAAGCAUGGAUUGCUGUUUUCACUCAGGGGCUUUGAAGGAAGACACCUUUGAUCAUUGGGCUGCCUCUACUUUUCGCUGAGUUGUCACUAUUAAAUGCCCUUCCCUGGCUUUGCCUUCUCUCUUCUCCACCAGAAAAUGGGCCUGCUGCUUGAAGAAGUUGGGCUCUUGGAGUUCUCUAGCACAGGGGCCAUGAAAAUCAAUGACUUCCUUGUUUGCUGACGGAGCAGAGGUAGAAUCUCUUGGUGUUUCCACGGAGAAAACACUGACCAUGAAGAGCCAAGAAAGAUGACAUGAUGAAGCCAUCAGGGGAAGCACCAAACAUCCUCAACUCUGCUCACCCAUGGUUUUCUCCCGCCCUCCCAGAGCUCCUCCUGCUGAUGGGCCCCCGACAUGAAACUGGCACUCAGAAUGAAGAAUGCCUUUUCCAGCCUCCCUCGCUGGUGGAGUCUCCGUGUUCCAGCCAAUGAAGUAGGGCAUGCAGUUGCCUGCCCCACUGAAGUCAACUUCAGCCUGAAGAUUGGGAGACUUCCGAAAGUGGAAAACUUGGAAGGAGGAAGCCUGGACAGCCUGCAGUUGAGGGGACCUGCACAAGCUCACAGGACUCUUCAUCACCAUGACACCACGCUCACCGCAAAAUAAAAAUGAUCAAACCUGU